GAUGAACGCUGGCGGCGUGCCUAAUACAUGCAAGUCGAGCGAAUGGAUUAAGAGCUUGCUCUUAUGAAGUUAGCGGCGGACGGGUGAGUAACACGUGGGUAACCUGCCCAUAAGACUGGGAUAACUCCGGGAAACCGGGGCUAAUACCGGAUAACACUUUGAACCGCAUGGUUCGAAAUUGAAAGGCGGCUUCGGCUGUCACUUAUGGAUGGACCCGCGUCGCAUUAGCUAGUUGGUGAGGUAACGGCUCACCAAGGCAACGAUGCGUAGCCGGCGUGAGAGGGUGAUCGGCCACACUGGGACUGAGACAAGGCCCAGACUCCUACGGGAGGCAGCAGGAGGGAAUCUGCCGCAAUGGAAGAAAGUCUGACGGAGAAACUCCGCGUGAGUGAUGAAGGCUUUCGGGUCGUAAAACUCUGUUGUUAGGGAAGAACAAGUGCUAGGUGAAUAAGCUGGCACCUUGACGGUACCUAACCAGAAAGCCACGGCUAACUACGUGCCAGCCGCCGCCGUAA
rnacentral:rRNA from 1 species